rnacentral:rRNA from 1 species
AUUGAACGCUGGCGGCAGGCCUAACACAUGCAAGUCGAACGGUAGCACAGGAGAGCUUGCUCUCUGGGUGACGAGUGGCGGACGGGUGAGUAAUGCAUGGGGAGCUGCCCAAUCGAGGGGGAUACCAGCUGGAAACGGCUGCUAAUACCGCAUACGCCCUGAGGGGGAAAGGUGGGGACCUUCGGGCCUACCGCGAUUGGAUGCACCCAUGUGGGAUUAGCUAGUUGGUGAGGUAACGGCUCACCAAGGCGACGAUCUCUAGCUGGUCUGAGAGGAUGACCAGCCACACUGGAACUGAGACACGGUCCAGACUCCUACGGGAGGCAGCAGUGGGGAAUAUUGCACAAUGGGGGAAACCCUGGUGCAGCCAUGCCGCGUGUGUGAAGAAGGCCUUCGGGUUGUAAAGCACUUUCAGUGGGGAGGAAGGGGCGAUGCCUAAUACGCAUUGUCAUUGACGUUACCCACAGAAGAAGCACCGGCUAACUCCGUGCCAGCAGCCGCCGUAA